CGACGGGACUCGGGCAGAAAUCAUGUUCAUAGAUGAGCUAAUGAUUUAAUAAUGUAGUAGAAUGAAGCAGGGUGAAAGCCGUUGAAGCUAAACGAGGCCACUUAAUGAGCACGACAUGUGGCUCGAAAGCAGCUGCUUCUGCUCCUUCUGGUCCUCAGAUUGUUUGGCUUCUGUCCAUAUUGCAUCACGUCAUGUGCGGGAUAAGAACUGGAUGGUGAUCCACCACAGGUUGGAGUUUCCAGAUUUGGGGCCAAGUCUAUGCGCAGUAUCGACCAUGUACUGUAGUUUCUCCACAGAGUGUGAAGAGAGGUUCCUGAACAGCUCAAUGACAACAAUUUUGACAAUUUCCCUUUCACGCUCAGCUUCUCAACCGUUAACUGCAGAGAAAGCACCUUCUCCGUCACGUCUUCCACCUGUCUAUUCAUGGAUUCAAGCGAGCAGGCCAGUUGUAGAAAGCUGCUGAGAUGAAAGAAGACACUAGCAUUCUUGUGCAUAUUCAGGACAAAGACUGUGUGUCUAUGGAGGUGCGAUACCACUGUUACAGACAGUACACCAGGUUCUUGACAAAGUCUACUGCAACAGUUACUGGGACCUCAGAAGAACAAAAUGAGCCAACCUUCGAUGCCAGCUACAAGAUCUUCUGUGAGAGGAUCAUCCGCCAUAGAAUAAUUGUAAACCAAGAGGUGCUGACAAUGAUGCAGCUAAGAAGUAUCUUUUUAAAUCUUGUGAAAAAACAUGAAGAUCUUGAUGCUUCAAACUACAGG
ensembl:lncRNA